UUUGGUGUGAGAUUAGAAGUUGGGGAAGAAAGGGAGAGGAAGAGAAAGAAAGCUGAGAUUAGAGAGUGGGCAACUAUUUUACUAGCCCAAUCAUGCAAGUAAUUUGCGCCAAUUAUAAAUGUAGAUUCAAUUAAUUAAUAAUCAAAGAAGCAAGCAAUAUCUAGCUAGCUACUUGGAAUGUAAGUAGCUUUGCUCCAUUGCUGGCUUAUAUGUAUAACUAUAUAAGUACAUUGUUAUGUACUUAAAAGGGAUUAUAAUUGGGCACAAGCCCCUUGAAUCUACAUUUAUAAUUGGCGCAAAU
rnacentral:misc_RNA from 1 species